CAGAACACAGAUGGCAAACACAGACCCAGGCUGAGGCACAGCGAAUCCUGCCCAGAAAUAAGGAAGCCAGAAAGCAAACCUCCCACCCAGGCAGCAGGGACUGGCAGUGCCCAGUGAAGGAGGAGCUGACCUGCUGCAAGCCACCAAGCAGGAGUCAACCAGCAACACCUGCCCCCAGCCAGAGGCAUGUGGCAGCUGGAGAUACCACCCACAAGUGAGAUCUGAACUCUGGAAAUGAGAAGGAAUGGAGGAGAAAAAAAAAACCAAACCAAACCAAACAACAAAAGGAUAAAGGAAUGAGCUGAAAUCAAACAGACCACAUCUCCAAUGCUGCUUUGGAACACUGCUGAGGUACCAGUGGUUGAGUCAUCCCUCUGUGAUGUGGAGAAGACCUGAUCACGUCUCACACGCGCCCAAAACACCACCCAAGAGGUUCCAUGGCACAGGUGGGUCCAGGGCAGGCCUGUGAC